rnacentral:rRNA from 1 species
UACAGAGGGUGCGAGCGUUGUCCGGAAUCACUGGGCGUAAAGGGCGCGUAGGUGGCUCGACCAGUCACUGGUGAAAGCUCGACGCUCAACGUCGAGUCGGCCAGUGAUACUGUUGGGCUGGAGCACUGUAGAGGCAGAUGGAAUUCCGGGUGUAGCGGUGGAAUGCGUAGAGAUCCGGAAGAACACCGGUGGCGAAGGCGGUCUGCUGGGCAGUAGCUGACACUGAGGCGCGAAAGCGUGGGGAGCAAACAGG